rnacentral:rRNA from 1 species
AUUGAACGCUGGCGGCAUGCCUUACACAUGCAAGUCGAACGGCAGCAUGGAGAGCUUGCUCUCUGAUGGCGAGUGGCGAACGGGUGAGUAAAGCAUCGGAACGUACCGUGUAGUGGGGGAUAACGUAGCGAAAGCUACGCUAAUACCGCAUACGCACUGAGGUGGAAAGCAGGGGAUCGUAAGACCUUGCGCUAUACGAGCGGCCGAUGUCAGAUUAGCUAGUUGGUAGGGUAAAGGCCUACCAAGGCGACGAUCUGUAGCGGGUCUGAGAGGAUGUUCCGCCACACUGGGACUGAGACACGGCCCAGAAUCCUACGGGAGGCAGCAGUGGGGAAUUUUGGACAAUGGGGGCAACCCUGAUCCAGCCAUGCCGCGUGAGUGAAGAAGGCCUUCGGGUUGUAAAGCUCUUGCGGCCGGGAAGAAAUCGCACAGGCUAAUACCCUGUGUGGAUGACGGUACCGGCAUAAGAAGCACCGGCUAACUACGUGCCAGCCGCCGCAGUAA